UCUGCCUAACAGCUAGCCCAAAUCUAAACAGAACAAAAAACAAAUUUUAAUAAACCUUAACACACUAACCCUAACUAUAAACAAACCAUUUUUCCCCUCCAGUAUUGGCGAAAGAAAAAGAGCCGUGGCGCAAUAGAGAAAGUACCGCAAGGGAACGCUGAAAGAGAAGUGAAAAAAACCAGUAACGCUAAAAAAAGCAGAGACUAUCCCUCGUACCUUUUGCAUCAUGACUUAGCUAGAAACUCCAAGCAAAGAGAACUUUAGUUUGACCCCCCGAAACUAAGUGAGCUACUCCAAGACAGCCUUUUAUAUAGGGCACACCCGUCUCUGUGGCAAAAGAGUGGGAAGAGCUUUGAGUAGAGGUGACAGACCUAUCGAACCUAGUUAUAGCUGGUUGCCCGAAAAAUGGAUAGGAGUUCAGCCUCCCGGCUUCUUUAAUCGCUUACGUCCACUUCACCCGACAGAAAGAAACCGAGAGAGUUAAUCAAAAGAGGUACAGCUCAUUUGAUAUAGGACACAACCUUAAUAGCAGGGAAAAGAUCACAUUUUCACCUAAGGUCAUACAUUUUUGUGGGCCUGAAAGCAGCCAUCACCAAAAGAAAGCGUUAAAGCUCAAAUAACCCCUACUAACCCCUUAUUCUGACAACAUAAUCUUAGCCCCCUUAAACUACCGGGCCGCUCCAUGCAAACAUGGAGGCGACCAUGCUAACAUGAGUAAUAAGAGAACCCCGUUUCUCUCCUUGCACCCCUGUAUAUCGGAACGGACAUUCCACCGAAACUUAACGCCCCCAAACAAAGAGGGCCCUGAAUUAAACAAAUAAACAACCAGAAAAACAAUCAAGCUUAAGCGUUAAACCUACACUGGAGUGCCCUUAAGGAAAGACUAAAAGAAAAAGAAGGAACUCGGCAAACACACAUUGGCCUCGCCUGUUUACCAAAAACAUCGCCUCUUGCAAAAACAAAGAAUAAGAGGUCCCGCCUGCCCAGUGACUAAACGUUUAACGGCCGCGGUACUCUGACCGUGCAAAGGUAGCGCAAUCACUUGUCUUUUAAAUGGAGACCUGUAUGAAUGGCAUAACGAGGGCUUAACUGUCUCCUUUUUCUAGUCAAUGAAAUUGAUCUCCCCGUGCAGAAGCGGGGAUAAUUAUAUAAGACGAGAAGACCCUAUGGAGCUUCAGACACUAACGCAGGCCAUUUCACUAACCCCAGACAAGGAUUUUAAACCAAAUAGUCGACUGCCCUAAUGUCUUUGGUUGGGGCGACCGCGGGGAAACAAAAAACCCCCAUGUGGAAUGGGACACCCUCCUUGAAAUAAGAGCUACCGCUCUAAUUUAACAGAAAUUCUGACCAAUCAGAUCCGGCUUCAGCCGAUCAACGGACCGAGUUACCCUAGGGAUAACAGCGCAAUCCUCUUUCAGAGCCCAUAUCGACAAGAGGGUUUACGACCUCGAUGUUGGAUCAGGACAUCCUAAUGGUGCAGCCGCUAUUAAGGGUUCGUUUGUUCAACGAUUAAAGUCCUACGUGAUCUGAGUUCAGACCGGAGUAAUCCAGGUCAGUUUCUAUCUAUAACAUGAUCUUUCCUAGUACGAAAGGAUCGGAAAGAAGAGGCCCAUGCCCCAGAUACGCCUCUCCGCCACCUAAUGAAAUCAACUAAAAUAGGCAAAAAGGCAUAAACCCUUUGCUUUAGAGAACAGCAA
rnacentral:rRNA from 1 species